rnacentral:lncRNA from 1 species
GAGCACUUAUCAGGGACCCUGCAUGGAUCCAGACCAUACCUAAAACUGAACUGCCCCUGGAAAACUGCUCCUUCCCCUCCACGUCAUGCCCCAUCUCAGUGAGGACACUUCCAUCACCCUCACACAUGCUACAGGGUCUCGGGCAGCAGCAAGGGUGCCUCCCAUGCUCUCCUCACCCUCUCAUCCCAUCCAUCACCACAGCCUGCACUUACUUCUGCCUUCUCCCAAAAGCCUCUGGAACCCCCUCCUCCACUCUUCCUUGUCUUCGACCUUGGGUCCAGCUCUGGCUGCCUCCUGGGCUGUGUCCAGAUCGAUGCCCAGCCUCUCCUCUAGACCGUAGACCCCUGGCCCCAAUAGGAGUCUCCAAGAGGGUCCCUGUGAAACCUCUAGACUCCUGGCCUCCAGUUUCGGAGGUGGCCUCAAGUGGAUCCUGGCCCUCACCUCCUGAGCUCCUCCCUAGCUUGCCCAUCACACUCAGCUGUGGCUGAAUCUC